UAUAUUAUUCUUAUUUUGCUUUAAAGUUUCUGAAUGGCUUAAUCCAAUUCAACUAAAUGCUUGCAGGAUUCAAGUUAUCAUGUUAUAAUUUUGUAUAGCUUCAAUUGCCGAUUACAAUGAAAGAAUAGUGUGGUUAUACAAAGGCUGCACACUUUGUAACAAAAAGCUAGGUUUACAGUGUAUUAUGUUGACCUGUAACGAUCAUCCAUCCGAAUGCCAAUCAACCAACAUGAUGUUUACUUUAAAUAGAAGAUGGAAUAUUAAGCAUAGCAUGUUUGCUUAACAGUAAGAAAGUAUAGCGGUUAAGUGAACUACCGGUAACAAUAAUGGACUGGCAAGGAGCACCAACAAGUCCAAGUGCAUACACCGAGCUCCAGAAAGUCAAAGUGCAUACACCAUGAAGAGAUUCUUGCGGUCAGAGAUACCAGUUGAUACUUAUCCAAAUGUUGUCGGGUGAAUAUAAGAGGAAAAUGGUUGGUCAAAGAUUCAGAACAGGUAAUUUUAUACCAUUGAGGUUUAUUACAUAUAUGAAAUUGGGAUGUGUUUCUUGAAAUUAAUGUUUGUUUAUGACAAUUGAAGCAACCACGUUUUGCCAUGUCUCUUUGCUUGCUACAUGUAAAACUUAUGAUGAACAUUGAUGUAUUAUGUUUGUUUAUUUUUGAAAUUUAUAACUAGGA